rnacentral:rRNA from 1 species
CUGGUCUUGACAUCCCGAUGAGUUCAUUAAAGAUAGUGCCCCUCUUCGGAGCAUCGGAGACAGGUGGUGCAUGGUUGUCGUCAGCUCGUGUCGUGAGAUGUUGGGUUAAGUCCCGCAACGAGCGCAACCCUUGACUUUAGUUGCCAGCAGGUGAAGCUGGGCACUCUAGAGUGACUGCCGGUGACAAACCGGAGGAAGGUGGGGAUGACGUCAAAUCAUCAUGCCCCUUAUGACCUGGGCUACACACGUACUACAAUGGCCGGUACAACGGGAAGCGAAACCGCGAGGUGGAGCCAAUCCCAGCAAAGCCGGUCUCAGUUCGGAUUGCACGCUGCAACUCGCCUGCAUGAAGUCGGAAUUGCUAGUAAUCGCGGAUCAGCAUGCCGCGGUGAAUACGUUCCC